UAGAAUUCAUUAUCAGUGGCAUUGCCAGCCACGUACAAGUCUGUGUCCUGUCUAAAUGCGACCAGGAUGUGAUAGUGCUCCUGGCUGAGGGACUCUCUCCACAUGUGACAUCCGUGGAAUUCCCAGCCCAACGCAGGACGACACAACACACGCAUCCGCGGUUCAUCUCGCCUAAUGGGUCGGGAUGCCCGUGUGGCUGAUAAAGCUGUCAUAGGUCUGAUUCCUCCAAGAGCACAUAGAUUGAAAACAAAACUGUGAAACCAGCACUCAUUUGCCGUUCUAAACACCACUCAUAAAUUCCAGGUGUUUAUGUCCCGAGUCCUCGGCGAGAGAAACCAGCGAGUUCAAUUACCAUGUAGGAGCGGUGAGUCGCACCGCCCGCCUCUAAUCUUUUCAUUGCAGCGCUGAACGGAGCAAAGGUGGCCUGGAGACUCGGGCGGGGCUGCUGAGGCUUAAAAGGUGUGAGCAGGAAUCUCACCGCGUGUGAACAUGGGACAGCCACAUUCUUUCAUAGGGGAGGAGGGCAGCGAGGCCCGGAGAGCACAGCUGGACCUUUUCCCACGCUAAGGCUCUUCACGGUUUAUGCAGAAAGGACUCACAUGUGGGAGAGGAACGCAGCACGUCACACCCACCCCGUGAAUGGCUGCGCCCUUCGGAGGGUCUUGCUGUCGCCGGGGGGAUGCUGACUCGGUCAGUGGAGGGAAAGCCACCCACGGUCAGGACAGGCCGACUGCAGACCUGCUCCUGUUCCGUGCCCAGCUUGCUCUUCUUCGGCCUUGAGAGACUGACGCUCCUUGUUGUCUAAGCCGUUUUGAGUUGGGUGGCCCGUUGUUUGCAGCCAAAAGCGUCUGAGAUUACAUUCCAUACCCCGUCCACCCAGAAGCCAGACUCAGGGGCCGUGGUGGCUGCAGGCCAGCUCCCCAGCAGCUUGCGUUCCCCUCCUCGCCUGUGCGGAGCAGGUGGAUGAGGCACCCGCCGAGGCCCUGCCCUCCCUGGAGUCCUGUCCGGUUUGGUUUCUGUCGUUUCCUUCUUGCCCGCUCUGGAAGACGGCAACAGUGUUUGCGGAGCCUCUCUUCUUGUUGGAGGCUGGGAGGCCUUGGUUAAAGGGGAGGUGACUUAGGUGCGCAACUACCCUGGGGGGACAGGGACGGACAGCAAGUCUGGGUAAGACAAUACAA